CAGCCGCCGCGGGAAUACGUAGGGCGCAAGCGUUAUCCGGAAUUAUUGGGCGUAAAGAGCUCGUAGGCGGUUUGUCGCGUCUGCCGUGAAAGUCCGGGGCUCAACCCCGGAUCUGCGGUGGGUACGGGCAGACUAGAGUGAUGUAGGGGAGACUGGAAUUCCUGGUGUAGCGGUGAAAUGCGCAGAUAUCAGGAGGAACACCGAUGGCGAAGGCAGGUCUCUGGGCAUUAACUGACGCUGAGGAGCGAAAGCAUGGGGAGCGAACAGGAUUAGAGACCCCAGUAGUCCCUGUCUCUUAUAC
rnacentral:rRNA from 1 species